rnacentral:tRNA from 1 species
GGGGCUGUGCCUGAAUGCUUAAGGACCACUUUGAUAGAGUGAACAACGAGGGUUAAAACCCCUCCAGCCCUU